rnacentral:lncRNA from 1 species
AUGAGAUCAGACUCAGGUUCAGUCAUUGUAGCCAUCCAGCCAGCGGUCCAAGGUCUGGCUACAAGCUCCCCACCCAGACACCCUCCCUCCAGGCAGGCAGCCCACCUUACCCCUGCCCCAAAGAGCAGGCUUGUCAGUGUCUGCCCAACCCACAGGAGGACCGAUGGGAAACCUGGGUUGAUGCCAGCCACAGAGCACCGGACAGAAGCUAACGAACUACUGUGUGACUUCAUCACAAACAUUCCAGAAUGUUCCAUGUGGUGGGAGUGUGCUGUAGCAAAGCGUUCAUUGGAGUUCCCUCAGUGAUGUUAAUGAGUAGGUAGAAGGUAGGUGGAGUUUGUAGCAAGUGCAAGAGGUGCAGGGUCAGUGAGUGAAGAUGCUGUAAAAACAAUUCAUACACACCUUCCUGAAGACUGCAGACCCACAAGGACAUCAACUGGGGGAGGAGAGUUGAGGGAUUAUUAAGUGAUAUUGUAAGAACUAGUGGUCAGACAUUAGAUCAGUCAACAGCACAGCAUUAUCUAAUCCUGGGGACCCACCACUCCUCUGGGGCCCCAGGACCAGAACACACUGCUAGUGUAGAUCAGUUCGGUAACCAAUCAGUCAGCGUAACAUCAGACUGGGGCGGUAAUAUGAAAUCAUCACUUCUACAUUAUAAAGGACAGAAGUCAAGUCGAUCACACACACCUUGAGGUAGUUCAGUAACAGGCAUCUUCUAGUAACCAGUCUGGUACCACCAUCAGGACCUGAAGGAGAGGAGUCUAAAUAAACAUGCUGAACAGCACUACAUUCAAAGACUGCUUUAUUGUCUGAUCCUAGACCAGCUCUACUGCCCUGAGACAAUUAUGGAAAGUGCUGACAAGGGCCCUGUACUGCAUCAGGACACCAGUUAUUUGGAAGUCAGUAUUCAAUAUGCAAGAAAAUAUGAAUCUGACGACAUCCCGAGUGGCCCAUCCACCCCAGUCCCGUGUGCUGCUACUAGCACUUCAUGAAUGAUUCUCCAUAUUAAAUCUAAUAGCAGCCAUUUUGGAUCAACAAUGCAGAGCCAAAUGCUAUUUUGUGUGGGUCUCUGGUCCCAUCAGACAGUUGGUAACCCCAACCAGCUGUCCCCUUGUUGCCCUGGCAACGCCAGUGGGUCCACCUUUGCAGGUUCUGUCGUCGACGCAGGGCGUAAGACGCGUGCGGGUGUCAUCACUAGGAGCCAGAGUCACCACGACUACCAAACAUCAACUGUUCCCUCUUGUUUGCAGUGAUUUUUAACACUAGACUGGUUAUAGCUUGUGGCUAAGGCAGAGGCUCUGGUAAGACACAAGGACUAGAUUCAUUACCCAUAACAAUUACCAAACGUACUCAUUAACCAAAACUCACCAGUCUAGUUGGCAUCACGACUUCCUGUUCAGCCACAUACAGAAGAACCUAGGAAGACAAAAGCUUCAGGUUACAGUCUGGGUGGGGACCAGAUAUGAGGGCACAAGGAGGGGGUUAGACAUAACAUAUGUAGCCUUAAUGACAGGUUACGUAGCCCUCUGCUGAAGUCAGCUAUUCCUUUUCUCAACAGGAGUUCAGACGAACGAGAUUCCAAAGAGAAUAUUCAUCAUGUUCAGCAGAAGGUUGGGAGAGCUCAAACGUGUCAUGUUCAGCUAAACUAUACAAGUAAAGUUAACAAUGCUGUGUAAAUAUCAAUACAAUAAACUAUAAAGCACCACUUGGGACCGUUUCAGAACCACAACUUACCAGUAUGUUGGAGUCCACGGUGCAAUGCCACUGACCACAGCACCCAGACCCUGAGGAAUGAAAGGCAAUCAUUUUAUUAGUGUGAUGAUUGAGGAAUCGAUGACUAACUGCAGCAUUAUAUACAGUCACUCAGCAGUUCAUGUCGUUUCACAUCGGUUCAAAGUGAGCUAAGAUUGUCAUCAUUGGGACUGUAGCAUCUUCAAGUGACUGGUUCCACGGAGUCAUGUCACUCAACCCACAUGGCACCCCAGUCCCUAUACAGUGGACUACUUAUUGACGAGACCAACAGGCCGUACUGUAUUGUGACCUGCCCGAUGGUGGUCCCAAUCACAGCCGGAUGUGCCCUAGACCCCUGCGUCACCCAGGAGCAAUUCACAAGGAAUAAGGUCCCAUUUGGGAUUCCACCAACAUGUAUACGGGUGGAAGACCAAUCCUACCCGUAGUGGGGAACCCAGUUUGAUAGUUGGACAAACUCACCAGUGAAGGUCGUUAAUCCCUUCAGGAAACUUCAUCCCCACGUCUGUUAAAAUGAGAAAGGAAGUUAGUGUUUUGCUGUAAAGAACAUUUAAACAUACAACUGGUGCAUUAGCUACAGUCACUCAGUAGUUCAUGUCGUUUCACAUCGGUUCAAAGUGAGCUAAGUUCAUCAUCAUUGGGACUGUAGCAUGUCCCGGGAGCCAUCUUGUACAGUUGGUCAGCCAAAAAGUGAAAUUGCCUUCAUCCAAAGUCACCCUGUUGCCUUUAUAGUACAUGGGUCCUGGUCUAAGGUAGUGCACUAUAGAGCCCAUCAGAAUAAAGAGUAUCUUCACAA